rnacentral:rRNA from 1 species
CGUACGAUGAUGCCCAGCUUGCUGGGCGGAUUAGUGGCGAACGGGUGAGUAAUACGUGAGUAACCUGCCCUUGACUCUGGGAUAAGCCUGGGAAACUGGGGUUCUAAUACUGGGAAUACUACCUUCUUGCGCCGCAUGGUGGGGUGGUGGAAAAGGGUUUUUACUGGGUUUUGGAUGGGGCUCACCGGCCUAUUCAGCUUUGUUGGUGGGGGUAAUGGCUUCACCCAAGGCGAACGACGGGUAGCCGGCCCUGAGAGGGUGACCGGCCCACACUGGGACUGAGACACGGCCCCAGACUCCUACGGGAGGCAGCAGUGGGGAAUAUUGCACAAUGGGCGGAAGCCUGAUGCAGCGACGCCGCGUGAGGGAUGACGGCCUUUCGGGUUGUAAACCUUCUUUCAGUAGGGAAGAAGCGAGAGUGACGGUACCUGCAUAAGAAGCGCCGGCUAACUACGUGCCAGCAGCCGCGGUAAUACGUAGGGCGCAAGCGUUGUCCGGAAUUAUUGGGCGUAAAGAGCUCGUAGGCGGUUUGUCGCGUCUGCUGUGAAAGCCCGGGGCUCAACCCCGGGUCUGCAGUGGGUACGGGCAGACUAGAGUGCAGUAGGGGAGACUGGAAUUCCUGGUGUAGCGGUGAAAUGCGCAGAUAUCAGGAGGAACACCGAUGGCGAAGGCAGGUCUCUGGGCUGUUACUGACGCUGAGGAGCGAAAGCAUGGGGAGCGAACAGGAUUAGAUACCCUGGUAGUCCAUGCCGUAAACGUUGGGCACUAGGUGUGGGGGACAUUCCACGUUUUCCGCGCCGUAGCUAACGCAUUAAGUGCCCCGCCUGGGGAGUACGGCCGCAAGGCUAAAACUCAAAGGAAUUGACGGAGGGCCCGCACAAGCGGCGGGAGCAUGCGGGAUUAAUUCGAUGCAACGCGAAGAAACCUUACCAAGGCUUGGACAUUCACCGGGACCGCCCCCAAAGAUGGGGGUUUCCCUUCGGGGGCUGGUUGGACAGGUUGGUGCAUGGGUUGUCGUCCAGCUCCGUGUUCGUGAAAAUGUUGGGAGUUAAGUUCCCGGCAACCCAAGCGCCAACCCUUCGUUUCUAUGUUUGCCAGCCACGUUGAUUGGUUGGGGGACUCCUUAAGGAGAAUUGCCGGGGGUUCAACCUCCGGAGGAAAGGUGGGGGGAUGGACGGUCCAAAUCCAUCCAUGCCCCCCUUUAUGUCCUUGGGGGCUUUCACGCCAUGCCUACAAAUGGGCCCGGGUACCAAAGGUUGCGAUACUGUGAGGUGGAGCUAAUCCCAAAAAGCCGGUCUCAGUUCGGAUUGAGGUCUGCAACUCGACCUCAUGAAGUCGGAGUCGCUAGUAAUCGCAGAUCAGCAACGCUGCGGUGAAUACGUUCCCGGGCCUUGUACACACCGCCCGUCAAGUCACGAAAGUUGGUAACACCCGAAGCCGGUGGCCUAACCCCUUG